rnacentral:lncRNA from 1 species
AUAAAUAAAUUCAGAAAAUUUUGAAAAACAAAAAGUCAACUCGAAAAUAUCUUUUUCCGAGUGUGGCGUAUAUAUAUAUCACCGCGUUCGUCUCGACGCGAGGAUUUCAGAUCUGAAAACCUUUUUACGAGUUGCAUCUCCUAACUCCGUAGAUCUGAAGUCAAAGUUCGGUCUUCGUCUCACACCAUGAAAUUUCCGAAUUUCAGGAUGUGAAUAAAAAGAAUAAAUAAACAAUAAUUUUCUCAACAUUUAUUUUUCUUUACAGGAAAUUUAGUAUAGGAAAAAUAAUUGUUUGCUUUUCUAAAUUAAAUAAUGUUGUUCUAUGUUUGUGCAUUCAUGUCGCUGCAUCUUGGUGUUUCUUGAGUGCAAAAGUUUGAAAAAUGCGUUUAGACGUUGCCCAGACCCUUGUGAGGAUUUUCCAUCUUUUUCUGGAAUUUAUUCUCCUUUUUCUAGAGCUAAAUCCAAUUUUUGGAAGGUUCUAAAAUCCUUUUCACGAGAUCCAGGUAUUUUAUUUGGAUUCCUUGCAUCCCAAUCCAUCUCUGAGAUUUAUCUCAGAUUUUUCGGAAUUUUCGAGGUAUUUUUCUCGCUUUAGAAAAUGAGUCCGGCUAUUUCUGGAAUUGUUUUCGCGCAGAUAAAUAAAUUUAGAAAAUUCCGAAAAACAAAAAGUCAACUCGAAAAUAUCUUUUUCCGAGUGUGGCGUAUAUAUAUAUCACCGCAUUCGUCUCGACGCGAGGAUUUCAGAUCUGAAAACCUUUUUACGAGUUGCAUCUCCUAGCUCCGUAGAUCUGAAGUCAAAGUUCGGUCUUCGUCAAACUCCGGCGAGCUUUUCCGGCGAAACCGUGGACUUCCGGCGAAAACCGACACCACCAUGGAGUUCCUCUCUUCGAGCUCUACGCCGUGGUGUGGUGGAUUGCAUGAAUCCGAUGUCGGCUCCGUCGUCUUCCCCAACUCCGGCGAGCUUUUCCGCCGCCAUUGUUCAUCUCUUGCCGAAGGUGAGCAUACCAUCUUGUUCGCCUCGUCGAUAUCGUUCCA